CAGAGUUCAUGCCCUUACGGGUAGAUCUCCCACCCUGUGUUAUUAUUACCUUUGUUGCUUUGGCGGGCCGUCUAGCUUCGGCCAGACUACCGGCUCCGGCUGGUAAGCGCCCGCCAGAGAACCCCAAACCCUGAAUAUUAGUGUCGUCUGAGUACUAUAUAAUAGUUA
rnacentral:misc_RNA from 1 species